CGAAAUUUAAAAAAAGGGAAAAAAGGAAAAACACAAAAAAAAAAAAGUCAUUAUGCAUAUGUCAUGUAGAAUUAGGGCAUUCUUUGCACGUCAUUGCAUGCUAAGAUUGCAUAUUAUAGGUUUAGAUAAUUUCUCCUAAAUAGAUUGCAUGCUUAUUAGGAAAAUAAAAAUCAUGUGCACGUCAUAUAGAAUUAGUUUCAUACAAUGCACGUCAUUUAG
rnacentral:lncRNA from 1 species